CUGGUCUGAGAGGACGACCAGCCACACUGGCACUGAGAUACGGGCCAGACUCCUACGGGAGGCAGCAGUGAGGAAUAUUGCGCAAUGGGGGAAACCCUGACGCCGCAACGCCGCGUGUGGGAAGAAGGCCUUCGGGUCGUAAACCACUUUUACUCGGGACGAAAAAGGGAUAUCAAAUAAAUAUCCCCGAUGACGGUACCGUGAGAAUAAGCCACGGCUAACUCUGUGCCAGCAGCCGCGGUAAGACAGAGGUGGCAAGCGUUGUUCGGAAUUACUGGGCGUAAAGAGUCUGUAGGUGGUUUGUCAAGUCUUUGGUGAAAGGCCGUAGCUUAACUAUGGGAAUGCCAAAGAGACUGGCAGGCUGGAGGCUGGGAGAGGGAAGCGGAAUUUCUGGUGUAGCGGUGAAAUGCGUAGAUAUCAGAAGGAAGGC
rnacentral:rRNA from 1 species